rnacentral:lncRNA from 1 species
CCUAAGUCAAACACUCUCGAGGAACAAUAAAGAUGUUAUGAGAGUGGUAGAAUAAUUACACACAUAUAAGAGCUCGAAAGAACUUAUCUAAAGAGUCCUCCAUAAAUGGUUUAUAUAGACAAAUGUUGAUGCUCAUUGUUGAGGAAUCUAGACAUACGAAUUAGCCAUUUCUCAUAACCAAUCACACAUCCUCAGAAUCAUGCAUGGACAAUUUGUCCGCGCCUCAUAUCUUGCAUAUCUCUCCC